rfam:Oryza brachyantha chromosome 3, whole genome shotgun sequence.
AAUAACCUAUUUUUUUUCGUGUCUAACGUUUGACCAUUCGUUUUAUUUAAAAAAUUUGUAUAAAAACUUAAAAAGAGUCACGUAUAAAGUAUUACUUAUAUUUUAUCAUCUAGUAAUAAUAAAAAUAUUAAUCGUAAAAAAGUUUUAAAUAAAACGAAUAAUCAAACGUUAGACACGAAAAAACA